rnacentral:rRNA from 1 species
GAUGAACGCUGGCGGCGUGCCUAAUACAUGCAAGUAGAGCGAUCAGACGAGGAGUUUCCUCCUCUGACGUUUGCGGCGGGCGUGUGAGUAACACGUGGAUACCCUAUGUAUAAGACUGGGAUCACUUCGGGAAACUGGAUCUAAUACCGUAUAAUAUAUUGUUCCAUAUGGUUUACUAGAGAAAUACGAUUUUGUUGUUACUUAUAGAUCGUUCCGCGCCGCAUUAGCUAGUUGGUAAGGUAACGGCUUACCAAGGCAACGAUGCGUAGCCGACCUGAGAGAGUGAUAGGCCACACUGGAACUGAGACACGGUGCAGACUCCUACGGGAGGCAGCAGUAGGGAAUCUUCCGCAAUGGGCGAAAGACUGACGGAGAAACGCCGCGUGAGUGAUGAAGGUCUUCGGAUCGUAAAACUCUGUUAUUAGGGAAGAACAAAUGUGUAAGUAACUAUGCACGUCUUGACGGUACCAAAUCAGAAAGACACGACUAACUACGUG